GCACUGACAUUGACAUUUGACAGACGCUAAUGUCACAUACUUACUCUAGUCUCUACUCUUUGAAUGUCACUGACGUGACAUGAUCACUAUAUAAAAUAAAUAUACCACAUUUUAUCACAAUAUAGUGAUGUCCAGUUCUAUUUAAAAACUAAUAUUAUAAAUAAAACCGUUCGAGAUGAAUUUUGGUACAAUGGUAAAUGGGACCUUGAAGCUAAACAUAGAGGGGAGGGGGUGAAAUAGGGGUUGAAAGUUUGUAUGAAAAGUCCUUAAUUUUUAGAGAGACAGUUUUAAAAAUUUGUUCUUAUAUCAUAAAAAAAUACAUAAAAAAAUUUGUUUCAAGAAUAUUUGAAAUUGAAGUGGUGAAACAGGGGUCAAAAGUUUACAUUGAUUUCUGCGCGGAUGAAGUCAGUGGCGUCCGCUAGUAGCUCCCAUUGACACAAACAUCAUAUUCUGAAGGUGAUCUAUUAUCGCCGCCGAGACUUCGCCGACUGCAGUCGUCGGUUGCAGCUGCCGCUCGUGUAAAUGAAAACUAAGGCUCCAACUUUACAGCUAUAUGCAUUUUAAGUAAAGUUGUGUCUCAAACAGGGAAGUGGAAAACAUCGUGAGGAAACCUGCAUUCAAAAAUAAAAACAAAGUCUUGUAAAAGAUUUUAUUAAUAUUUCAAACACAAUUCACUAUGUACAAAUUACUUUGUAAAAAUAUUCAUUCUCGUCUUAAUAAUUAUGAUUUAUUUACUGUUAUAGGCAACACUUAAAAAAAAUAAAAAAAAUAUGAAAAAUUA